AACAAAUUUAUUGGCUUUUGCUUUUUCAGGGUGCUGUGUGGGUCCCUGGCAAGUCCCAUGGUGGUGUUGAGUGGCAGGGACAGAUGCUUAAUUCACUUUGAAGAUGUUUAUGGAUCUAUACAGAGAUGGUGGAGGUUUAAAAAAAGGGGGAGAGAUAGGAGGCAAAGACAGAACAGCCCAGAGCACCCCUCCCUACCUCACCCAUACCCCAAGCAAUGCAAAGGACAGAUGCCACAGGAUGGAAUGGGACAAAGGACAUAGAGGGGGGAAAAGUAGGCUAGGACUGUCUGUGAUUCUAAGGUGGAUUCCACUAGCAAGACCAAACUGAGGAAGGAAAAAGAAAAGGAGAAGGAAUUCAGGAUGCCAAAGACAGUAGAUCCUCACUGGCAUGGUUCAGCUGCCUGUAAUAAGUGUGGAGGUCUCUGGCUCAGGGGUGGCCACUGUCCUACAGGAAGGCACCUUCAUGGGGACACUUGCUACUGUCUGGAGCGCCAUGGCAGGGCCUGAGCAGAAAGGAAAUUGAGGCUAUGCUGCCAAGAAUGGUGUCUCUUUUCAGAGCAGGAGAACUACGUUCCUGAUGGCUAGGGCCCUGGGCUUAGAGCAUCUUGGUCACCUGACACGGAUUUCUCAGACAGUUGAAGGCUUGGAGCAGCUUGGGUAGAGACAGGACUUUCAUACAGGGGCAGCAAGCUCUGGCUGUCUGGACCUGGGGUGCCUCAUUCUGAGCAUUAAACAGGAAGUGGGUGGUCUAUAGCUCAGCUUCCCCUAAGGACCUCAGUACCAACUGAGGACCAGGGUUCAAAGGGCUUUCUGCAGCCAGUCUCCCCAUCCCCCCAAAGUACAUGCAUGGGGAGGCAAGCCCAUGAAUAGGAUGGCUUGCCUAAGAGUCACAGCAAGUCGACACCUGAGACCUCUAGUGCAUAGCUGGGCCACCUCCAGUGCUUCCACAACCUAGCUGGAUGUGUCUCUCACUUGUCUGGGUGUAGGGCUAAGUGCCGGAUGUGUACAUUUUAGUGUCAUCCCUCCCGGAGCAGGGGUGUCUGUGCCUAUGCCUCUUCUUUCAGCAAAAAGCAGAUUGGGCAGAGCAAGUGUCCACACUGAUGACUCCUAAGCUCUCCCUGCUUACAGGGAGAUUUGCCCAUCUUGGAGGAGGCCAGAGCAACGGGCAUCUCAAGCUUGUGUCAGGUGCUUGGCAUCGAGGUUCAGGAGCGUGAGACAGAGAGGCUGGGGGAAGGAGUGAAGAGAGAACGGAGAGAAGGAUGGGAAAGACAGAGGCUGGGGGAAGGAGUGAAGAGAGAACGGAGAGAAGGAUGGGAAAGACAGAGGCUGGGGGAAGGAGUGAAGAGAACGGAGAGAAGGAUGGGAAAGACAGAGGCUGGGGGAAGGAGUGAAGAGAACGGAGAGAAGGAUGGGAAAGACAGAGGCUGGGGGAAGGAGUGAAGAGAGAACAGAGAGAAGGAUGGGAAAGCGGAGACAGGGUGAAGGGACAGAAUAUUUAUUUGGUCCAUAGUCUCUAGGGAAGGUUCAUGCUUGUAGGGCCAUGGGCAACCAGCAAGGCCACUGCUUCCUUAAGCAGGAGGAAGCCCAAGGCCUGGUGAGGAACUGACAGGGAGGACCAUGAAGCCAGAGACAGGCAAGUUGCUAGGGUUGACAUUAUCCAUCUUCUCACUUCCUGGAAAUAGGACCUGGCCCCUGGGCCCCAACACAGCCUUACCUUACCCUCCUGUCCCCUGCUGCCCUUCUUGUGCCAGCUGUCCCUACUCACAGCUGCCACAUCUGGUUCACUGGGCUUUAUCCUUGUAGAGGGCCCAGGGGUUCCUCAUUCCAGGAGCCCCUAGGACAAGGAUACGGGGAAGACUGACUGAGCAGAGGUCUGGAGUUGGGGCCAGGGUGUGCCGUGGGUAUCCUGUCAUGACCUCAGGACCCAGGGCUGGGCGCCUCGGCAGGAUAGAGGCCUGUCACACGUCAGUGCUUACACUGCGGCUUCGGGAAAAGGCCUCCCGCAUGGCAGAGAGGCGGUUGGGGUUGAGCGCCUGCAGGCCUCCGAAGCUUGCAGAGGGCAGCUCCACAUCUUCCUGGCUGAUGCUUUUGUAGGCCACACGCCCCCCGCCGUUGCGCACACCCUCAAAGUCUUCGUCCUCUGGCUCCUGCAGGAAGAAGGUGGGCGGCUCGUAGUGGGAGCAGCUGCGGCAGAGGGCCCGGGCCUGCGGGGACUUUUGGCUGAAAGAGGUGGUGGCAGCUGGGUAGAGAGCAGGCCCGUUGGUCAACACGAGGUUGCGGUUGGAAUGCAGGGGCGGCAGGUGGGAAUGCACAGCGAAGUCGGGUUCCUCCUCGUCCUCCUCGGAUUCGUCCUUCUUGCAGCAGUAAUACUG
rnacentral:lncRNA from 1 species